UUUUUAUAACCGCGAGACUUCUGCCAUCAUGUAUCAGUUUAGCUACAUUACGACGAACGACGAUUUUUAUCACGGGAAAGACUCUUACUUCUAUGUGUUACUUAGAUUUAAAAGAUAAAUUAGUUAUCGAUUAAUCGACCAACUAUGAUAGACUCGAAAAAGAACAAUCAAAACGAGCAGUAAAACAAAACAAUCUGACAGGUCGACAAAUAAUUAGGUAUCAAUGUAUCGGUAACUUUUUUUCGCAGCGGUAUACAGACUUAUACAGACAUUUUUAUGGAUUAUACAGACUUGCCAAAAAAAAGUCUGGCAUCUCAGGUUAGAGCGCAAAAUUCUAAUUUUCCUCUGAAAUCACAAUAAUAAAAUUUAACAGUGCGCUAAGUAAAAUCGACCAAUCAGAGAGGGCUUUCGCUUUGACAGAACUUUGGGUGAUUUUUGGUUUCUCUUAUCACGUCCUGUCCUAGGUUCAUAUGUGAAUAAUCUCAACUGUAUCUUCAGGACAAAAAAAAAUCAAACACCUUGAAGAAGGCUAGGAGAACAUCGAGAUGGAUUCGACCCGCGACAAAAUGCAGCCGCAAGGAUAAGACAUUCGAAAACAUUAUAUCCAAGUUAUGGGACAUCUCUGGUGAGUGCAACUUCCGUUGUCGAAUCCGUUGCAAGUUUCAACAGCAGCAGCGGUACCUAAUAAUUGCAGCGGCACAAUUUCGCUAACAGCUUUAUAAUAUGUAUUGCCAACAGGAGAGAUAGGAUGUAAUUAGAUAUUAUACCGGUCAUCCAUAAUAAAUCGUUCAUUUAAGAAUACAAAA